rnacentral:sRNA from 1 species
CUGUGGGUGCAUAUUAUUGUUGACCUGUUUGGAGUAAGUCAAAGAUGUGUCCCCUUUAUUACUAAACAUUUUGGUGUAUUUCCUAAGAAUGUGGACAUUCUCUUGUAUAACCACAGUAGUUAACUAAAAUCAGGGCAUUUGAUAUUGAUACAAUAGUAAUGCUACUUUAUAAAUUAGAAAAUAAAUUGAAAAAUAAUUGGGAUAGGGUGUAAUCAGGAUAUGCUAUAUGAUUGGGAUAGGCUAUAUAAAAAAUAAUUGGACAGGCUAUAUAAUUUAAUAAUUGGGAUUAGGCUAUAUAGCAGUGUGCAGUAAAUAUGGAACUAGGCAUUAAUUUUUAUAUAUAAUUUUUUUUUUUUUUUUUUAAGGGAGAAGUUUGUUGGAACUUGGAGGAAACAAUGCCAUUAUUGCCUUUGAAGAUGCAGACCUCAGCUUAGUUGUUCCAUCAGCUCUCUUCGCUGCUGUGGGAACAGCUGGCCAGAGAUGUACCACAGUGAGGCGACUGUUUGUACAUGAAAGCAUCCAUGAUGAGGUUGUAAACAGACUUAAAAAGGCCUAUGCACAGAUCCGAGUUGGGAACCCAUGGGACUCUAAUGUUCUCUAUGGGCCACUCCACACCAAGCAGGCAGUGAGCAUGUUUCUUGGAGCAGUGGAAGAAGCAAAGAAAGAAGGUGGCACAGUGGUCUAUGGGGGCAAGGUUAUGGAUCGCCCUGGAAAUUACGUAGAACCGACAAUUGUGACAGGUCUUGCCCACGAUGCAUCCAUUGCACACACAGAGACUUUUGCUCCGAUUCUCUAUGUCUUUAAAUUCAAGAAUGAAGAAGAGGUCUUUGCAUGGAAUAAUGAAGUAAAACAGGGACUUUCAAGUAGCAUCUUUACCAAAGAUCUGGGCAGAAUCUUUCGCUGGCUUGGGUACAACUUUGUCUAUUUUGAAAAUUUAUAUAAGUCUGAUUUAUGUGACCUAAAGGAUCAGACUGUGGCAUUGUAAAUGUCAACAUUCCAACAAGUGGGGCUGAGAUUGGAGGUGCCUUUGGAGGAGAAAAGCACACUGGUGGUGGCAGGGAGUCUGGCAGUGAUGCCUGGAAACAGUACAUGAGAAGGUCUACUUGUACUAUCAACUACAGUAAAGACCUUCCUCUGGCCCAAGGAAUCAAGUUUCAGUAAAGGUGUUUUAGAUGAACAUCCCUUAAUUUGAGGUGUUCCGGCAGCUGUUUUUGAAGAAGACAAAGAAAAUUAAAGUUUUCCCUAAAUAAAUGCAUUAUUAUGACUGUGACAGUGACUAAUCCCCCUAUGACCCCAAAGCCCCGAUUAAAUCAAGAGACUCCUUUUUUAAAAAUCAAAAUAAAA